UUCCGACAAAAGACACAGUGCGACACGGUGUGACACGGUGCAUCAUUGCAGUCUUGUUGUUCGCCAUUGUACAAGGAUGGAAUAAUCACUGUAUUGUACCAAUCUCCUAUAGACAAGGCCUCUCCACCUCGUUCGGACAGCUCUGUGACGUCAUCACAAGUAAACCGAGCGCGCCGAGCGUCUUUCAGUGUUACGUGUCUCGUGAGAAAAUUUCAAAAUGUCGUUCAAAUGCUGCGUUCUGAAUUGUAAUGACAAUUACAAAUAUGGUCUACAGGUUGAAACAUUUUUGUUUCCAAAAAAUGAAGAGAUGAAACAAAAAUGAUUACAUGCCAUCUGCAGAAAGAACUUCCAGCCAACAAACAAUUCAAAAGUAUACGAGCUACAUUUCCGGUUGUCCAAAAUUGAACGAGAAACUAGUUACUACAUCGACUGACAAACGCACCAUUAGCACAUCGAAUUAUUGGCUCCGAUUAAUCAAAUAUUAUGUCGUUUUAUCUUGUUUUUA